AGUGAACGCUGGCGGCGUGCCUAAUACAUGCAAGUCGAACGGAGUGGCGCACGGGUGAGUAAUGUAUCGCUAAUCUGCCCUACACUAGCGGACAACAGUUGGCAACGACUGCUAAUACUCUAUAGUGUAGGAUGAGGCUAUAUUGUAUCAGCUAGUUGGUGAGGUAAUGGCUCACCAAGGCUAUGACGCAUAACUGGUCUGAGAGGAUGAUCAGUAACACGGGAAAUGAGACACGGUCAAGACUCCUACGGGAGGAAGCAGUAGGGAAGAUGGCUAAAUGGGGGAAAACCUGAAGCAGCAACGCCGCGGGGAGGAUGACACUUUGCGGAGCGUAAACUCCUGUUGUUAGGGAAGCGGUACCUAACGAAUAAGCACCGGCUAACUCCGUGCCAGCAGCCGCGGUAAUAC
rnacentral:rRNA from 1 species